GUGAACGCUGGCGGCAGGCCUAACACAUGCAAGUCGAACGGCAGCACAGUAAGAGCUUGCUCUUAUGGGUGGCGAGUGGCGGACGGGUGAGGAAUACAUCGGAAUCUACUCUUUCGUGGGGGAUAACGUAGGGAAACUUACGCUAAUACCGCAUACGACCUACGGGUGAAAGCGGAGGACCUUCGGGCUUCGCGCGAUUGAAUGAGCCGAUGUCGGAUUAGCUAGUUGGCGGGGUAAAGGCCCACCAAGGCGACGAUCCGUAGCUGGUCUGAGAGGAUGAUCAGCCACACUGGAACUGAGACACGGUCCAGACUCCUACGGGAGGCAGCAGUGGGGAAUAUUGGACAAUGGGCGCAAGCCUGAUCCAGCCAUGCCGCGUGGGUGAAGAAGGCCUUCGGGUUGUAAAG
rnacentral:rRNA from 1 species